CAAACGGGUGGUAAUGCCGGAUGCUCCAGUUGAUCGCAUGGUCUUCUGGGAAAGCUUUCGCGGUAUGGGAUGGGGUCGCGUCCUAUCAGCUUGACGGCGGGGUAACGGCCCACCGUGGCUUCGACGGGUAGCCGGCCUGAGAGGGCGACCGGCCACAUUGGGACUGAGAUACGGCCCAGACUCCUACGGGAGGCAGCAGUGGGGAAUAUUGCACAAUGGGCGCAAGCCUGAUGCAGCGACGCCGCGUGAGGGAUGGAGGCCUUCGGGUUGUAAACCUCUUUUAUCGGGGAGCAAGCGAGAGUGAGUUUACCCGUUGAAUAAGCACCGGCUAACUACGUGCCAGCAGCCGCGGUAAUACGUAGGGUGCAAGCGUUAUCCGGAAUUAUUGGGCGUAAAGGGCUCGUAGGCGGUUCGUCGCGUCCGGUGUGAAAGUCCAUCGCUUAACGGUGGAUCCGCGCCGGGUACGGGCGGGCUUGAGUGCGGUAGGGGAGACUGGAAUUCCCGGUGUAACGGUGGAAUGUGUAGAUAUCGGAAA
rnacentral:rRNA from 1 species